rnacentral:sRNA from 1 species
AUCAUGUCGCCGUAUUUACGAAUCGGCGAAGU